ACCUGCAAAUUUAUUAUAAGGAAUGUUGCCAGAAAGAGUGCUGCCGUGUAAAGGAAGUAGAAGAGAAACUAUGGGCUAAAGUUUGUUUCUGUCUUAGUUCACUGGGCUUCAUGCUGGUAAGGGAGUCAGUUACCUUUCUGGAAUAAAUUAUAGCCAGAGUUACAAUACUCAGAUGCUGUGUUAUGACUCAUUUGAGUUAUUUCUCAAAUGCAGGUAACUGACAUUUUGGCAUCAUUUUCUUAGGCUUUUAUCCUAACCAUAUAAAAUUAGGCCUAGCUUACAUAAUUUCUGCUAUUAGUUAUACUUGGCAGCGUUAGGGUACAGAUGGAAUCGCAUCAUGACUUUUAGUCUGGUGGAUGUGUAGACACUCAAAGAUUUAAGCAAGUGCCUUGUGUUUCCUGGAAAAUAUUAAAACUCAUUUGGGUGAAACCUUCCCAGAUGAUA
rnacentral:lncRNA from 1 species